rnacentral:snoRNA from 14 species
UAAUGAUGACAAAAUUCCCAAAAUGCCUAUUUGAAGCUUGCUUCAAAAAUGAAGGUUAAUCCAAUUUGCCACUGAUA